rnacentral:rRNA from 1 species
GCAGAGUUUGAUCCUGGCUCAGAUUGAACGCUGGCGGCAGGCUUAACACAUGCAAGUCGAGCGGUAACAGGAGAAGCUUGCUUCUCGCUGACGAGCGGCGGACGGGUGAGUAAUACUUAGGAAUCUGCCCAGUAGUGGGGGAUAGCUCGGGGAAACUCGAAUUAAUACCGCAUACACCCUACGGGGAAAAGGGGGCGCUUGCGCUCUCGCUAUUGGAUGAGCCUAAGUCGGAUUAGCUAGUUGGUGGGGUAAAGGCCUACCAAGGCGACGAUCUGUAGCUGGUCUGAGAGGAUGAUCAGCCACACCGGGACUGAGACACGGCCCGGACUCCUACGGGAGGCAGCAGUGGGGAAUAUUGGACAAUGGGGGCAACCCUGAUCCAGCCAUGCCGCGUGUGUGAAGAAGGCCUUUUGGUUGUAAAGCACUUUAAGCAGUGAAGAAGACCUAACGGUUAAUACCCGUUAGCGAUGACAUUAGCUGCAGAAUAAGCACCGGCUAACUCUGUGCCAGCAGCCGCGGUAAUACAGAGGGUGCAAGCGUUAAUCGGAAUUACUGGGCGUAAAGCGAGCGUAGGUGGCUUGAUAAGUCAGAUGUGAAAUCCCCGGGCUUAACCUGGGAACUGCAUCUGAUACUGUCAGGCUAGAGUAGGUGAGAGGGAGGUAGAAUUUCAGGUGUAGCGGUGAAAUGCGUAGAGAUCUGAAGGAAUACCGAUGGCGAAGGCAGCCUCCUGGCAUCAUACUGACACUGAGGUUCGAAAGCGUGGGUAGCAAACAGGAUUAGAUACCCUGGUAGUCCACGCCGUAAACGAUGUCUACUAGUCGUUGGGGAACUUGAUUCCUUAGUGACGCAGCUAACGCAAUAAGUAGACCGCCUGGGGAGUACGGCCGCAAGGUUAAAACUCAAAUGAAUUGACGGGGGCCCGCACAAGCGGUGGAGCAUGUGGUUUAAUUCGAUGCAACGCGAAGAACCUUACCUGGUCUUGACAUAUCUAGAAUCCUGCAGAGAUGCGGGAGUGCCUUCGGGAAUUAGAAUACAGGUGCUGCAUGGCUGUCGUCAGCUCGUGUCGUGAGAUGUUGGGUUAAGUCCCGCAACGAGCGCAACCCUUUUCCUUAGUUACCAGCGGUUUGGCCGGGGACUCUAAGGAUACUGCCAGUGACAAACUGGAGGAAGGCGGGGACGACGUCAAGUCAUCAUGGCCCUUACGACCAGGGCUACACACGUGCUACAAUGGUAGGUACAGAGGGCAGCUACACAGCGAUGUGAUGCGAAUCUCAAAAAGCCUAUCGUAGUCCAGAUUGGAGUCUGCAACUCGACUCCAUGAAGUAGGAAUCGCUAGUAAUCGCGGAUCAGAAUGCCGCGGUGAAUACGUUCCCGGGCCUUGUACACACCGCCCGUCACACCAUGGGAGUUGAUUGCACCAGAAGUGGGUAGCCUAACUUUUAGAGGGCGCUCACCACGGUGUGGUUGAUGACUGGGGUGAAGUCGUAACAAGGUA